rnacentral:ncRNA from 1 species
AAAAAGUUUGAAUCUAGCUUUAUAAUUAACUCUUUACUAGGUAUACGUGCAUGUAAAAUCUUAUAUCCCCAGAAAUAAAAAUACGUAAAGUAUAAAUACUUACGUAUUUCUCUGCCAACAGCAACAAAUAUUGCGUCGCUAUAAAACCUAUAGGCCCAACUAUAGUAAAAGAGAGUAGGGCACGCUUGAUGCCAGCAGCCGCGGUUAGAUCUACUUACUCAAGUUAAUUUUUCCGGCACAGUGAAGUAACUUUUCAAAAAAUGGUAAAAAACUAGUUUUCCUAGAAAUAAAAUUCAAAUUAAUAUCUAUUAUUCCUUUUUUCCAAAUCACACCUUCACGAAAGUCUACAUAAAAACAAGGAUUAGAGACCCUUUUAUUGUUGACCUUAAAUCACUUCAGCUCUAGGGCAAUAUUGUCACAUGGCAUAAACCCAAAGAUCUUGGCGGUACCUUAUACUACUCAGGGGAGCCUGUUAUUGAAACUGAUGAUCCGCAGUACUCCUUACCUACUCUUGAUUCCAGCUUAUACAUCGCCGUCGAAAAUCUACCUAAAAAAGAAUCAAAGUAUCAGGUCUUGUGAAACAUUUGUCUCCUUACGUCAGGUCGACAUGUAGCUCAUGAGUAGGAAUAAUGGGCUACAAUUCUCCAACGCACUUGUAUUCCUCCUAAGAAGGGAAUUAAAUUGGACUUGAAAGUAAAUUAAAUUCCUACAUUUAAUUGAAUUUGCCCCCUAAGGUGUGUACAAAUCGCCCGUCGCCCCCGCUGAAAAGUGGGGUAAGUCGUAACAUAGUAGGCGUAGCGGAAGCUGUGCCUAAAACAUU